rnacentral:rRNA from 1 species
AGAGUUUGAUUCUGGCUCAGGAUGAACGCUAGCUACAGGCUUAACACAUGCAAGUCGAGGGGCAGCAGGACGAUAGCUUGCUAUUGUUGCUGGCGACCGGCGCACGGGUGAGUAACGCGUAUCCAACCUUCCCCUUAGUAGGGCAUAGCCCGGUGAAAAUCGGAUUAAUACCCUAUGUUGUGUCAUGAGGACAUCUGAAUAACACUAAAGAUUUAUCGCUAAGGGAUGGGGAUGCGUCCGAUUAGGUAGUCGGUGGGGUAACGGCCCACCGAGCCCUCGAUCGGUAGGGGUUCUGAGAGGAAGGUCCCCCACACUGGUACUGAGACACGGACCAGACUCCUACGGGAGGCAGCAGUGAGGAAUAUUGGUCAAUGGGCGUAAGCCUGAACCAGCCAAGUAGCCGUGCAGGAUGACGGCCCUAUGGGUUGUAAACUGCUUUUAUACGGGGAUAAAGUGAGGGACGUGUCCCUUAUUGUAGGUACCGUAUGAAUAAGGACCGGCUAAUUCCGUGCCAGCCGCUGC